AACAGAUGGGAUUGGUCUGUUGCUACUCUGCAGAAACAAUUAUUCCAUGUUUACAGAUGGGAUCCAGUCUUUCUAUACAAUUCAGGGAUACUAAAUCACUCAAGGUUUAAGAUAUCGAAGGAGGUGAGGGUGAAGGAUGAGAGAGCUAUUGCAGCUACCAAGAAUAGCUCCACAGUUGGUUUCCUAAUGGAAGAAAGUGAUGUUACAGAAUUCCUGGCAAAAUCCACCUGGGUUCCAGGCUGACAGUCUAGCAGAAAACUGAAAAUCCAGGAAUUAUCCUGUAAGCCUCAGAGUUAAAGACAACAAAAACAGGACAGAGGACAGUACUAUUCCUUUGGGGCAGUGAGAAGAAGUGGAUGCAUGAGGAAACAGAGGUCUGCUACAAACUUCCUAUAUGACACUGGGCAAGACACUCUAAAGGUCCAGCAUCUACACCACAGGUAGAACUGAGGGGGGAAUCCAAUAAUACAGUUCCAUUCUGCUUUGUAGAUGGGACAAGAAUCUAGCAUUCUUCAGAAAUCAAUACAAGUGGAAACUUCAUUUGCCAAGAUUUUGCUUUUGAAAAGUCCUACGUGUCUUCAUAUAGAAAACCAUCACAAUCAGCAGAGAAAGAUUUAUUACAGGAGGAUCUCUAGUGGACAGAGAGAGAUUCAAAUGGAGGGGGUUAGAAAAGAGAAGGCAUGCAAUAUGUAACUUGUACAUAAGGACAGAUUUUUAGAACACCCUCCAGAAGCUUCCUAAAAUCCUCUCUCCCACAAGCCUAUCUUGGAUUACGUCGGUAGCUGGAGUAGUACUCAGGUUAAUGAGUGUGUGGUUCUUUAAGAUUUAGUGUUCACACAGAGCAGAGAGGGAUGCUCUGUUUUUAAAUAUCCAAAAGAUACUUUUUGUAAAAAGUGAAGAGAUUUUUUUCCCCCCUUAUACCCUUGGCCAAAAGCUUGCCUUCCCAAAGCUAGUGUGCUGUACACAUUUUAAUGGGGGGGGGGGGGGAAGGAUGCAAGUCAAAAUGGAGGAAAAUUGAAAACUUUUAGAGGGAAGCUUGUAGACUACAGACACCAUUUCUGGCUUAACCUCUUAACAUUGACCCCUCACUUCCACCAGCGUUAAAUUCACUCAAGCAAAUUAGAGGAAAGAGGGAGAAGCCAGUAGUAACAAACAGCUGUGCCCCAAAUCCUGCUGAUAUUUACAGUAUUAAAAUGGCAGUCAUUCCAAUUUAUAAUACACGGACACUCAAUAUCCUGAUUCCUUACC